ACAAGCAAUUAUUAUUAUACCCCCGCUUUAAAAAAGGGGGGGUAUACUGUUUUACCUCUGUCUGUCCGUCCGUCCGUCCAUCAGUCCGUCAGUCCGUCAGUCAGUCCGUCCCAUGAAACUUUCGUCACAUUUUUCUCAGGAACUACACAUCCACCCUUUCUGUAAUUUGGUAUCAACAUUUAUAUAUGUCAGCCAUACCGUGUGAUGCGUUUUCAGAUUCAUCACUUGACAACUUCCUGUUUACCGAACACUUGUCUGAUUUUACACAUGAUAGCCAAGUUGAAAAUUUUUCGUC
rnacentral:lncRNA from 1 species